rnacentral:rRNA from 1 species
UACGUAGGUGGCAAGCGUUGUCCGGAAUUAUUGGGCGUAAAGCGCGCGCAGGCGGCCUCUUAAGUCUGAUGUGAAAGCCCCCGGCUCAGCCGGGGAGGGCCAUUGGAAACUGGGAGGCUUGAGUAUAGGAGAGAAGAGUGGAAUUCCACGUGUAGCGGUGAAAUGCGUAGAGAUGUGGAGGAACACCAGUGGCGAAGGCGACUCUUUGGCCUAUAACUGACGCUGAGGCGCGAAAGCGUGGGGAGCAAACAGG